rnacentral:rRNA from 1 species
GAAUGUAGCAAUACAUGGCGAACUGCUCAGUAACACGUGGACAACCUGCCCUUAGGACGGGGAUAAACCCGGGAAACUGGGUAUAAUACCCGAUAGGUCUCGAUUGCUGGAAUGCAUCGAGAUUUAAAGCUCCGGCGCCUAAGGAUGGGUCUGCGGCCUAUCAGGUAGUAGUGGGUGUAGCGUACCUACUAGCCUACGACGGGUACGGGUUGUGAGAGCAAGAGCCCGGAGAUGGAUUCUGAGACACGAAUCCAGGCCCUACGGGGUGCAGCAGGCGCGAAAACUUUACAAUGCUGGCAACAGCGAUAAGGGAACCUCGAGUGCCAGGUUACAAAUCUGGCUGUCGAGAUGCCUAAAAAGCAUUUCAUAGCAAGGGCCGGGCAAGACCGGUGCCAGCCGCCGCGGUAACACCGGCGGCUCGAGUGGUAACCGUUAUUAUUGGGUCUAAAGGGUCUGUAGCCGGCCGGAUAAGUCUCUUGAGAAAUCUGGCAGCUUAACUGUCAGGCUUUCGCGAGAUACUGUCUGGCUCGAGGCCGGGAGAGGUGAGAGGUACUUCAGGGGUAGGGGUGAAAUCUUGU